CCUACGUGUGGCUGCAGUGGGGAAUAUUGGGCAAUGGGCGCAAGCCUGACCCAGCAACGCCGCGUGAAGGAAGAAGGCUUUCGGGUUGUAAACUUCUUUUGUAAGAGAAGAGUAGAAGACGGUACGUGAAGAAUAAGCCACGGCUAAAUACGGGCAAGCAGCCGCGGUAAUAUGGAGGUGGCAAGCGUUGUCCCGAUUUAGUGGGGGUAAAGGGCGUGUAGCCGGGUUGACAAGUCCGAUGUGAAAUCCUGCGGCUUAACCGCAGAACUGCUUUUGAAACUGUUGAACUUGAGUACUGGAGAGGCAGACGGAAUUCCUAGUGUAGCGGUGAAAUGCGUAGAUAUUAGGAGGAACACCAGUGGCGAAGGCGGUCUGCUGGACAGCAACUGACGGUGAGGCGCGAAAGCGUGGGGAGCAAACAGGAUUAGAUACCCUUGUAGUC
rnacentral:rRNA from 1 species